CUUUCAUUUUAUUUUUAAUCUGUCAUAGAUUUCUUCGAGGACGUGCGUUGUUGUAUUGCAGAGAAAAUAAAUUAUAAUUAAGUUUUGCAAAGGAUAAUGAUUUCUAUUUGAUAUAAAGAUUAAUUUAAAUCAGAAGACUCGUGACAAAAUGGCUAAGGAAGGAGAUAUGUCGCUGUUCAAUGACGUCUUAGAGCCGUUCAGGCGAGUAAUAAAUACGGACCCGCCGAAAGACAAAUUGUCGUCGGCGACGAAAUUGAAUUUUUCUGAUAGUAACCAGUCUCUGAAAGAAGGGCUCACUAACCUAUUGUCCCUUGGUAAACGAAAGUCUAGCAUUGGCAUGAACGAUGUCUGUACACCUGAGAAACGUAUGCGGACGGACUCUUCGUCCACGCCGACUGCGCCGCCAUCGCCUUGGGAGGCCAAGCGGCUGAAAAUUGAUCUGAUAGCAGCAAAGGCCCAGAUAGCAAAACUGGAGUCUCGCAUAAACCAAUCACACACAAUUCGCAAGGAGAUGCAGAUUCUGUUUGAGGAGGAGAAAGGCUCGCUAAUGGAGCAACACAAGAGAGACGAGAGAGCUCUCUCUGACAUGGAGGACAGGCUGCAACUCAUACGGAGGAGAGAACAGGAACUGAAGGAUGAGUAUAAUGAGGCUGUGAAAGAACACAAAGAGCACAAAGCCCACUGGGACAAAGAGAAGGCGGAGUUACACAAACAGAUAGCUGACCUGAGAGAUAAGCUGUUGGAGUGUAAUGUCAGCAGCAAGGACCAGCUCUCUGAGAUGAAGAAGGAUAUGGAUGAACUGCUGCAGGCUUUAGAAGGAGCACAAUCGGAAGUAGAAAUGUUGAAGACCGAGGUAGCCAAGCAGACCAGCAGGGCUGAACAGUGUACGACCCUGAGGAAUCAGUUGGAGAAGCAGAGCUUUGAGCUGCAGAGCGUCACCAACAAGCUGAAGGAGCUGGAGUACGAGAGAGACUCUUACAAAGACUGGCAACAACAGGCUAAGACUGCACAAAAACGCCUAACAAACAUGGCGGAGUUAGAAAAGGAAGUGGCUCGGCUACGUGCACAGGAGAGAUCACUCAGAGACUCGGCUUGUAACAAACUGUUGUUGGAGGAACAAGUCCAUGUGUUGCAGUCCAGGGUAGAUGCUCUGCAGCCGGUGCAGAAUGACUUGCAUGAAGCUAAGGUGAAACUAGCGUCCCUAGAAUCCCAGCUAGAGGAAUGGAAGGCAGCCGCACGUACUCACGGCGUGGAGAACGCGCGGGCGCUGACCAGCGCUUUAGACUCCGCGCUCAACAGCCAGCUCAAUGCCACCGCUGCGUCUUCACAAGCCCACUCUCAGCUAGCACAACUUACUGAGGAAGUGGCAUCAGUAAAGUUCGAGCGCGACAAGGCGACGGGCAAGCUGAACGAGCUGGUCACUGUGCGCAAGAACCAGGAGAGUCUCAUACAUCGCCUGCAGAAGCGGCUACUGCUCGUCACUCGCGAGAGAGACAGCUAUAGACAGCAGCUGGACUGCUACGAGAAGGAGCUGACGGUGUCGCUGUGCGGCGAGGCGGGCGCGGGCGGCGCGGCGCUGCUGGCGGCACGUGUCGAGCAGCUGGAGAAGGCGCUGCAGGCCUACCGCGACCUGCUGGCGGCCCACGACCAGCCGCAGCAUGUCAGGCUGGUAGAAACACUACGCGCGGAAUCAAGCAAAUGGCGUGAGGAGGCGGAGACGCUGAAGCGCGACGUGGCCAAGCUGCGCGCGCAGAGAGACACGCUACACGCUAACCUUGAACGUAUCGGGGCUCAGGCGCAGACCAAGGUGCUGCAUUUAACGAACAACCCUGCAGCUGAAGCUCACAAACAAAUGCAAGUAGACCUGGAAGCUGCUCAAGAAGAGACAUAUUAUUUACCAAUGCUGUGCGCAGCGCAUAAAAAGGCUAAAAGCAGCGUUGAGAGAUGGCGGCAGUUCCCGCGCCUGCCCAGAAGAAACGCAACAAUUACGACAACAGUUGGAGAGUAGCCGUAUUAAACUUAAAAGAUUGAAAGAAGAAUUCACUUCCUCCGCUCAAGAGUAUAGAGACGUAUGUUAUAUGUUAUUAGGUUAUAAAAUUGAUAGAACAGGACAUAAAAAUUACAGAAUAUCAAACAUGUACGCAGAAUCUUCCGAGGAAUACCU
rnacentral:misc_RNA from 1 species